rnacentral:rRNA from 1 species
GACGAACGCUGGCGGCGUGCCUAAUACAUGCAAGUCGAGCGAAUGGAAGGGAGCUUGCUCCCUGAAGUUAGCGGCGGACGGGUGAGUAACACGUGGGCAACCUGCCUGUAAGACUGGGAUAACUUCGGGAAACCGGAGCUAAUACCGGAUACGUUCUUUUCUCGCAUGAGGAAAGAUGGAAAGAUGGUUUCGGCUAUCACUUACAGAUGGGCCCGCGGCGCAUGAGCUAGUUGGUGGGGUAAUGGCGCACCAAGGCGACGAUGCGUAGCCGACCUGAGAGGGUGAUCGGCCACACUGGGACUGAGACACGGCCCAGACUCCUACGGGAGGCAGCAGUAGGGAAUCUUCCGCAAUGGACGAAAGUCUGACGGAGCAACGCCGCGUGAACGAAGAAGGCCUUCGGGUCGUAAAGCUCUGUUGUCAGGGAAGAACAAGUGCCAGAGUAACUGCUGGCACCUUGACGGUACCUGACCAGAAAGCCACGGCUAACUACGUGCCAGCAGCCGCGGUAA